GAGACUCUGGCCGCGGCGAUUCAAUAUAUCCGGAAGCAACUGUCAUGGCUGCUGUCAGUGAGGGCCCGUAAUGGAGAUCGAGUCAAGGGUUGCCCAGGGACACUUAAGAGCCUUCGGCUUCAAGGAGGCCUCUCAAAGGACAAAGGAUGAGACUGCCUGGCGGCAGAGUGCCCCCCACAAUCGUAGGAACUGUGUCGCCGCGCUUCCCGUUAACUUGCCGCUAAGUUUUUCUAGAAAAGUCGCCCUUCUUGCCAGGGGUGUCCUAUAGACUUUGUCAUGGAGUGAAACAGAAACAAAUGAACAAACGGCGUGACAAAAGAUUUUCUGAUCUGUGAAUUUAUUUAAGUCUUCGAAAGGCAACAAAACUAAAUCACCCACUGCUCUGAGGACCAGUUCCCAAGUCAUCAUGUCCUGCUCCUGUAGAUCAAGAAAGAUUUGGGCCCACUUCUCUAUCUUGGGACUUCUGGUACAUGAAAACUAAUGUGGAAACAGGUUACAAAAACUAUCAUAUUAUAUUUUGAAAAUUUACAUCUAACACACACCAUGCAACGUAGUUUUGCUACUCAAAGGUGAAUUACAAGAUUUAUAAAAAUGUAUUAAUUCUUAGAGCAACCACUGGCCAGGAGGCCCAGAAGCUCUAAACAAGUACUGUAAUGUUUUUUAUUCAAACCUGAAGAUGUAUCUCUGUGUCUAUACUUAUAGCCUCAAUUAGAGAGAAAGUCAACCAGGAGGCCCUUUCUGAAAGUGAAGCCAAAAAACUCUCACAUCACUUCCCCAUCUAAGCCGCAGUGACCACUCUCCAACAUUGACCACUCUCCAACAUAACCCC
rnacentral:lncRNA from 1 species